rnacentral:lncRNA from 1 species
GGCGAAAAUUUAACAACUGGUUUUACUUAAAGUUCCUAAGUUAUUUGGUUUUAGGAACUUAAACUAGGCUUAAGUUUGGAUUUUUAUGUUGGAAUUUAUGAAAUUGGGAUUGAGGUUGAACACGUGGGAUCCCCACACCUCAAAACCCUCCCCAUAACCCGUAACAUUGUCUCUCUCUCUCCUCCCUCACGAAACUCUCAGUUCUCUCUCCUUCUCCUUCGAACUCACACGGACCACCACAAAACCACCCUAAAGCUAUACCAACGACGAAUCUAAGACCACCAUUGGAACCCUGAAGACUUCACGAUCACGAUGGUAUCCAUUUCAGGUAAGUUUUGCUUCGGAAAACCCUAGUUUCAAAGUUCCCGUGAAGAGCACUGUUCAUGAUCUUUUAAAUGGUUACGUUUUAGGCUAAAACAAGCUUGUAGGAAGCUUAGUGAGGUCCCAAGGAAGCUCGGAGUGCUUCGUUGGAAGUUUUUGGACGUAAGAACACGGAGAUCGACAAGUUCAAAGUUUGGCCGGAGCUUUCGAGGCUUUUUCCGGCGAAUCCCCGGAGAGUUAGGAGUCGAGGUAGGUAUAAAUAUCUUCGUCUCGUCAAGUACUACAACUUUCCUUUUUGUUUCACUCAAUUUCGUUGAGUAUUGAAGAAUUUAUACUCAUUUAAAAAAUACCCAGUUUCCGGCGACCUCCGAGGCUUUCGAGGCAGUUUCCGGACAAACCACGGCGAACUAGGUGUUGUGCAAGGUACCAUUCUCUUUGUCUCUUCAAGGGCUACAACUUUAGUUUUUGAAUCACUUGAUUUAGUUGAGAAAUGACAAAGUUAUGGCAAUUUGAAAAACGGCCGCCGGAAAAACCAGUCCGGCGACCCAAGGAAGAAGAAGGUGCGCGUGGACCCGUGCCUUCCUUGGCGCGUGGGGGGCGCGUCCUACAGUAAAAAAUUAUUUUAAAAAUAUGUCGACGUCCGUGACGUCGAGUAAAUCACUGUGGUAUAUUCAUAUACCCAAAUUGAGCACCGUAUGAGAAAGUUAUUAAGGAUUGUUGGUUAGGUGUUCGAAUAACGUUUUAUAGUUUUCGCAUUAGGUGAAAAUGUGAAUUGAUGAUCCGACCGUUGGAUCAUCACCAAACUUUGAUACGUUGUAAUACGUAAUAUUUGAGGAUUAUUGGAACUUACGGAUUGGGAAUCCGAUUUACGGAUCUUCCGGAAUUGGAGUUGUAAGUUCAUAAAAUAGAAUGUAACCGUCACUUAGUUUUGGAAAUUGACGGAGAUCCGACCGUUGGAUGGUAAUGAAAUUUUAGGAUGUUGUCCUAGAGGUAUAAUGUGGACCUCUGGAAGUUAUGGAUUUAAAAUCUGAGUGGUGGAUCUUCCGGAUCAAUCUACGUAGUGACGUAUUUUAUAUAAGUUAUAUAUUCUAUCGAUAUGAAUUCUGAGGUUGGAAUUGAUUAUUGUUUUAGGCGCCGAUCGUCAUGGCGCCUUGGUGUAUUGUGCUAGGGAGUUGUAGGGCGAACUCCAGGUGAGUGGGCAAUUUUGUUUUCCGUAUACAUAUAUACUUGCCGUUUUCCCAGAAAUUGAAAAUGCAUGAAAUUAUGCUUUAAAUAGAAAUGUGUGAAAAGUAUAUAGAAUUAUAUGAAAAACGUGAAUUGAAACGCUAUGCAUGAAAGUAUAUGAAAAGUAUAUAGAAAUGUGAAUCGAAUUGCCAUGCAUGAAAUGAUAUGAAUUGAUAUAUGAUGCAUAUGUAUGAAUUGGUGCGGCGGACGCACAGGUGAGUAUCAGGUGAGUAUUUAAUUACUGUUAUGAUGAUGAUGAUAUAUAUUGAGCUCAAAUCCUGCACCAUGGUUUAGUGCUUAUAGUAUUCACCGCAUCGCACGCUCGCCUUGGAUCCAAGUAGAUGCUGGUCGCACAGUCCACGCGGAGUGGGUGCGACGGGCCAGUCGAAGAGUGUUAGUGAGAUUUCGACUGGUGGGUGACCUUAGAUUAUGUGCACAGAUGAUUGAUGAGAAAGCACUAGAGUGUAACUUGUGUGCAGAAGGCCGGACAGGUCACAGAGGUGACUCCGGCAGAAUGAGAGUGAUAGAUUUUGAGCUCUAGGUUCAACCGUACAGGCUAUUAGAGGGCCUCCGGUUGAUUACUUUCUUGCACCUGAUAUGAUUAUUGUUGAUGCAUCCAUACUUAACUGUUGAAUUAGACAUGGCAUGGCCUAUUUGUACUGAAAAAUGUUGAGAUAGUAAAAAUGAAGUUUUGAGAAUAUAUAUGUAUAUUUAUAUUUUACAUUUCUGGGAAAGUAUACAAGUUUUACGGAGAGGGGUUACAACGUUUUGAGAAAUGUUUGGAUUUGGAAAAGAAUUGUUUUACUGACCCACUCAAUUUUGGUUUUGCGCCCCUCCAGGUUCAGGAAUCACAAAGGUGUGGUGACUACGAGGAAUUCGACGGUGUUCUGACAGAUUGUACAAAAUUAGGACUCACCUUCGGGUGUAUCAACUUAUAAAUUGUAUCUUAAAGCUUCCGUACUGUGCAAAUGGUUAUGUCACUCUCACGUGACGGCCAGCAUGCCCUCCUUCGAGACGGGGUGUGUCAGCAGACAGACAAUUCAGCUCCCUAGUGUUUAUGUCAUUUUCCUUUGGUCAAUCCAAGUCAUCCAUAUGAUGCAUUAUGAAAUUUACAUGUGAUUAAAUAUUUUUAUGGAUAGGGUGUUAGUCGUUUAUCCAUGUGUUCUAGGUUUGAAAUUAUUAAAUUAUUGUAAUAAUUUCGAAUAUUUCCAUUCCUC